AGAGUUUGAUCAUGGCUCAGGAUGAGCGCUAGCGGUGCGCCUAAUACAUGCAAGUCGAGCGAGGGCUUCGAGCCCGAGCGGCGGACGGCUGAGUAACACGUUGGUACCUACCCCAUACUCAGGGAUAAUUUCGCGAAAGCGAGACUAAUACCGGAUGGUCCCGAAAGGGUAAAGAUUUAUCGGUAUGGGAGGGGCCUGCGGCCUAUCAGGUAGUUGGUAAGGUAACGGCUUACCAAGCCUAUGACGGGUAGCUGGUGUGAGAGCAUGACCAGCCAGGAUGGAACUGAGACACGGUCCAUACUCCUACGGGGGGCAGCAGUAGGGAAUCUUCCGCAAUGGGCGAAAGCCUGACGGAGCGACACCGCGUGAAGGAUGACACCCCUCGGGGCGUAAACUUCUUUUCUGGGGGACCAAGUUCCGACAUUACCCCAGGAAUAAGCACCGGCUAACUACGUG
rnacentral:rRNA from 1 species